CAGGGUGACAGGGAAACUGCUGCAGGGUGACAGGGAAUCUGUGCUGCAGGGUGACAGGGAAACUGCUGCAGGGUGACAGGGAAACUGUGCUGUAGGGUGACAGGGAACUGUGCUGCAGGGUGACAGGGAAUCUGUAGGGUGACAGGGAAACUGUGCUGCAGGGUGACAGGGAAACUGCUGCAGGGUGACAGGGAAUCUGUGCUGCAGGGUGACAGGGAAACUGCUGCAGGGUGACAGGGCAGCUGUGCUGCAGGGUGACAGGGAACUGUGCUGCAGGGUGACAGGGAAUCUGCUGCAGGGUGACAGGGACACUGCUGCAGGGUGACAGGGAAACUGUGCUGCAGGGUGACAGGGAAACUGCUGCAGGGUGACAGGGAAACUGUGCUGCAGGGUGACAGGGAAACUGUGCUGCAGGGUGACAGGGAAACUGUGCUGCAGGGUGACAGGGAAACUGCUGCAGGGUGACAGGGAAUCUGUGCUGCAGGGUGACAGGGAAACUGUGCUGCAGGGUGACAGGGAAACUGCUGCAGGGUGACAGGGAAACUGUGCUGCAGGGUGACAGGGACACUGUGCUGCAGGGUGACAGGGAACUGUGCUGCAGGGUGACAGGGGAACUGUGCUGCAGGGUGACAGGGAUCUGUGCUGCAGGGUGACAGGGAAACUGUGCUGCAGGGUGACAGGGAAACUGUGCUGCAGAAUUUAAGGAACGUGGUGGUGCCCUGGAGCACAAAAAGCAGCUCUGCUGAGUGCACUGGAUGAACCCGACGGCCGCAUUUCAGAGGAAUCCCAUCCCCUGGUGGCGGAGCUGGGAAACCCGAACUGAGUGAGUGGGUGAGCUGAAGGAGCUGCGUUGGCUCCUCAGGAGGAGAAGAUGAACGAGCUGCAGCUGUGGCUCCACCCGGACCUGUGGGGAUCCAUCCUGGGCUGGAGGAGGUGCUGCAGGGUUUGUGGUGUGCAGGUGCACAGGAGCCACAGCCGGCUCACAAACUCAACCAGCAGCGUCUGCACUCUGGGCUGCUCCUGCUGAACCCCAGCACCCGAUCCUGUGCUGGCCCUGAUGCCACUGGUGCUGUCAUGGCACCAGGAACGCUCCUCUGGCACAGCUCUGCAAUUCCUGCUGUGCAUUCACCAGGCCAGAGUGCAGCAGCUGUGCAGGAAAUCCCUUCCUGAUGAAAACCUCCCGCAGCAAUCCAGCAUUAUUUUAUUAUUUUCAAUAUACUGGGUUGUUAAAUCUCUACACUUGUUCUGUUUCUGUACCCUUCCUUUUGUGCAUUGCAUGGAUUUCCUGUGAACUCGAGUCCUGAUCCACUUCAGGUGAGGGGAGCUGAGCUUUGCCUCCAUCCACAGCUGGGGAAUUCAGUCCUCAACAUCCUCCUGGAAUUCUCUCCCAACUUCUGCCCUGCUGAGCUUCUCCCAUAAUUCUUGGCAGUUUUGAAUUAUUUUGCAUAAUUUUGCAUUAAAUGACACUGAUUCCUUAAAUUCCA